rnacentral:rRNA from 1 species
AUCAUGGCUCAGGAUGAACGCUAGCUACAGGCUUAACACAUGCAAGUCGAGGGGAAACGACAUCGAAAGCUUGCUUUUGAUGGGCGUCGACCGGCGCACGGGUGAGUAACGCGUAUCCAACCUGCCCACCACUUGGGGAUAACCUUGCGAAAGUAAGACUAAUACCCAAUGAUAUCCCACGAAGGCAUCCGAAUGGGAUUAAAGAUUUAUCGGUGAUGGAUGGGGAUGCGUCUGAUUAGCUUGUUGGCGGGGUAACGGCCCACCAAGGCAACGAUCAGUAGGGGUUCUGAGAGGAAGGUCCCCCACAUUGGAACUGAGACACGGUCCAAACUCCUACGGGAGGCAGCAGUGAGGAAUAUUGGUCAAUGGGCGAGAGCCUGAACCAGCCAAGUAGCGUGCAGGAUGACGGCCCUAUGGGUUGUAAACUGCUUUUAUAAGGGAAUAAAGUGAGUCUCGUGAGACUUUUUGCAUGUACCUUAUGAAUAAGGACCGGCUAAUUCCGUG